UACGGGGGGGGCAAGCGUUGUUCGGAAUUACUGGGCGUAAAGGGCUCGUAGGCGGCCAACUAAGUCAUACGUGAAAUCCCUCGGCUUAACCGGGGAACUGCGUCUGAUACUGGAUGGCUUGAGUUCGGGAGAGGGAUGCGGAAUUCCAGGUGUAGCGGUGAAAUGCGUAGAUAUCGGGAGGAACACCCGUAGCGAAGGCGGCACUCUGGGCCGGAACUGACGCUGAGGAGCGAAAGCGUGGGGAGCGAACAGG
rnacentral:rRNA from 1 species